rnacentral:rRNA from 1 species
UACGAAGGGGGCUAGCGUUGCUCGGAAUCACUGGGCGUAAAGCGCACGUAGGCGGUCUGUUAAGUCGGGGGUGAAAUCCUGGGGCUCAACCUCAGAAUUGCCUCCGAUACUGGCAGUCUCGAGUGCGGGAGAGGUGAGUGGAAUUCCCAGUGUAGAGGUGAAAUUCGUAGAUAUUGGGAAGAACACCAGUGGCGAAGGCGGCUCACUGGCCCGUAACUGACGCUGAGGUGCGAAAGCGUGGGGAGCAAACAGG